UGGGGAAUAUUGGACAAUGGGCGAAAGCCUGAUCCAGCCAUGCCGCGUGAGUGAUGAAGGCCUUAGGGUUGUAAAGCUCUUUUGUCAGGGAAGAUAAUGACGGUACCUGAAGAAUAAGCACCGGCUAACUUCGUGCCAGCAGCCGCGGUAAUACGAAGGGUGCUAGCGUUGUUCGGAAUCACUGGGCGUAAAGCGCGCGUAGGCGGCUUAACAAGUCAGAGGUGAAAGCCUGGAGCUCAACUCCAGAAUUGCCUUUGAAACUGUUAAGCUAGAGUGUCGGAGGGGAUAGCGGAAUUGCUAAUGUAGAGGUGAAAUUCGUAGAUAUUAGCAGGAACACCGGUGGCGAAGGCGGCUAUCUGGACGACAACUGACGCUGAGGCGCGAAAGUGUGGGGAUCAAACA
rnacentral:rRNA from 1 species